rnacentral:rRNA from 1 species
UGGGGAAUAUUGCGCAAUGGGCGGAAGCCUGACGCAGCGACGCCGCGUGAGGGAUGACGGCCUUCGGGUUGUAAACCUCUUUCAGCAGGGACGAAGCGCAAGUGACGGUACCUGCAGAAGAAGCGCCGGCUAACUACGUGCCAGCAGCCGCGGUAAUACGUAGGGCGCAAGCGUUGUCCGGAAUUAUUGGGCGUAAAGAGCUCGUAGGCGGUUUGUCGCGUCUGUCGUGAAAGCCCACGGCUUAACCGUGGGUCUGCGGUGGAUACGGGCAGACUAGAGGCAGGUAGGGGAGAAUGGAAUUCCCGGUGUAGCGGUGAAAUGCGCAGAUAUCGGGAGGAACACCGGUGGCGAAGGCGGUUCUCUGGGCCUGUACUGACGCUGAGGAGCGAAAGCGUGGGGAGCGAACAGG